GAUGAACGCUGGCGGUAUGCUUAACACAUGCAAGUCGAACGGACUCUUCGUAGUUAGUGGCGGUCGGGUGAGUAACGCGUGAGAAUCUGGCUUUGGGCUCGGGACAACACUUGUACACGGUGGCUAAUACCGGAUGUGCUGCGAGGUUAACGAGAAGUUGCCUGGAGUUGAGCCAGCGUCUGUUGAGCCAUUUGGUGAGUUAAAGGGCCAAUAAGGCAGCGAGUAGUGGCAGGUCUGAGAUGAGGACCAGCCAAGAUGGGAAUGAGACGCGGCCGAGACUAAUACGGGAGGAAGGAGUGGAGAAUGUUCCAGAAAGAGCGAGAGCGUGACGGAGCAAUACCGCGUGAGGGAAGAAGGCUCUUGGGUAGUAAACCUCUUGUCUUAGGGAAGAACAAAAUGACGGUACCUAAGGAAUCAGCAUCGGCUAACUCCGUG
rnacentral:rRNA from 1 species